rnacentral:rRNA from 1 species
AUUGAACGCUGGCGGCAGGCCUAACACAUGCAAGUCGAGCGGAUGAAGGGAGCUUGCUCCUGGAUUCAGCGGCGGACGGGUGAGUAAUGCCUAGGAAUCUGCCUGGUAGUGGGGGAUAACGUCCGGAAACGGGCGCUAAUACCGCAUACGUCCUGAGGGAGAAAGUGGGGGAUCUUCGGACCUCACGCUAUCAGAUGAGCCUAGGUCGGAUUAGCUAGUUGGUGGGGUAAAGGCCUACCAAGGCGACGAUCCGUAACUGGUCUGAGAGGAUGAUCAGUCACCCUGGAACUGGGACACGGUCCAGACUCCUACGGGAGGCAGCAGUGGGGAAUAUUGGACAAUGGGCGAAAGCCUGAUCCAGCCAUGCCGCGUGUGUGAAGAAGGUCUUCGGAUUGUAAAGCACUUUAAGUUGGGAGGAAGGGCAGUAAGUUAAUACCUUGCUGUUUUGACGUUACCAACAGAAUAGGCACCGGCUAACUUCG